rnacentral:rRNA from 1 species
ACGGAGGGGGCUAGCGUUGUUCGGAAUUACUGGGCGUAAAGGGCGCGUAGGCGGCCCGGCAAGUCAGACGUGAAAGCCCUGGGCUCAACCCGGGAGGUGCGUUUGAGACUGCGGGGCUGGAGUCCGGGAGAGGUGAGCGGAAUUCCCAGCGUAGAGGUGAAAUUCGUAGAUAUUGGGAAGAACACCAGUUGCGAAGGCGGUCUCUUGGUCCGUUACUGACGCUCAGGCGCGAAAGCGUGGGGAGCAACCAG